rnacentral:rRNA from 1 species
UAGCCAGCAGCUAGCUCUCUGCAACUCUUACGUGGUCGCAGACUGAAGCUAAGCAAGGCUGCUCCCGGUCAGUACCUGGAUGGGAGACCUCAUUGGAAAGCUGGUUUGCUGCCUGA